UAAAGAUGUACUUUCUCGCUUCAGAUGUCGUGAUGCUAACGAGACUUUAAUUCAGAAUGACUCAAAAAGACUUUGGAAGUUCAUUUUGUGCCCGUUAUUUCGGAGGACACUACUCGAGGUAUUUUCUUGCUUUUGUCACAUUUGAGGGUCCGAUGACAAAUCGAUGGAUGGAGGAAAGCAAUGUCUGGCUAUUUUCCCCUUGGAUUCUGCGGUUUUCGAAGAUGGAGUUAGCUAGCAACUGGCUCCUUCCUCUUUCUCUACCUUCUUCUCGAAUCUGGAGAUCUGGAGGCUGGUCCCAACGAUCUCUCGUUCUAUCUAUCUCGUUCUCCUUUGGUGGGCGGAGAAAGAGUUAUCUUUCAACAUCGUGUUCUUUGGCAUCAUUCAGACACACAUACUUUGCGACAUCCCCAAGCCCAAGGAUCACCACUCCAUGAAAAAAAGGGUUCCGCACCAUCAAACAGAUGAAAGAGUCGAGUUCCACCAAACCGACAGACGGAUAUUUUUACAUGGCUUUUCUGAAGAGUCUCGUGAUGGGCAAAGAAAACUUUCUGGUUCCCAGCUUGAGAUGUUCUUUCCCCUUUUGGUGGAAGUUUUUGUCACAAUUGUGGCAAAAGUCUUUGGCUCCUAUUUCACCGAAGAGACCGAACCAGCAAAAACAGAGUCCAGUCACAGAAUCGCUCUCGUUUGUUCCCGAGAAUUGUACACAUGAACCUAUGAGACCGGCGUAAAUGAACAUCAUAUGUAUGAGUACCCUUCACAAGCCCUUCUCAUUCAGUGAAGCUAUGACGAUUCUUAACUCUUAAACUGUCUAUGAUCACGCGCUUCUUUUUAGUGAGUGUUUCUUUCCAGUGUCUCGUUCAUUUGGGCCUUUUUUUGGUCGAUCUUGUCUUUUCGGGAAAGCGAAUGGUCUGAACGACUAACUUUUAUGUAAUUGAAGACAAUGGUGGUUGAAGAAGUAGUGGAUGUGUUGGCACGAGUGCUUGUGGGUCUGUGAAAGUGAAUCGAAUAAAAUAACCAUUUGGAUGAUAAAGCCCUCCGGAAGACGAAUCCGGAACAGAAUUCUCAUGAAUUCAUUGAAAGUCAAUACACAAGGCUCAUCGUGCACGCAAUUCGGAGGCUUUCCGGGAAUAGAAUUCCGGAGUAUGAGAUCGUCGGAAACCCUUGCCAUAAUCUUUUGAGUGCUCUUUCAUAUCGAAUGUCUUUCUUGAAUCAACAAUAUUGUGAUGAGAAAAGAUGAU